ACCCUGUGCUCAUCCCAACAGGUCUGAAGGGCGUUUGACCUCGGGGUUGUGUUGGAGUUGGAGGUCAAAAGCCAGAUUCUUCGCCUCCCCCGCCCCCCUAGGCCUUUCUAGGCCUCUUUUCCUACUGUUGUACCCUAAACCAAAGCCAUCAGAACCUUUCCUUCCUCAGAGUUUAAGGCCAUUUCCACCUCAGGCCUGGGGGAGCAGGUCUCAGUGGACCCUGCUCCUAUGGAUGCCCCAAACUUGCACCCUGAAAUUAGCUUCUGACCAGAUGGAAAGGCCACACACACGCCCCUCCCCAUCCUCAGCUUCCAGGUGGUUCACCUUGGGAGGGGUGAAAUCUGAAACCGGCCCCCAGACACAGAGGGCAGGGUAAGACAGAGGAAAGAGAAAAGAGGCCACUCUGAUUGCAGCAGGUGGCAGGUGUAACAAGCAAGGGAAUUUACACACUGGCAGGUGUAACAAGCAAGGGAAUUUACACACGAUGCUGGUCUUGGGCUCUGGAAGACAGAGGAUCUCAGCGCCUGCCCACCAGAACCUUAACAGUUUACGGAGCGGCCUUAACCAGGCUCGGUCACAGGUACCGGCCAGAGGGUCUCAGCAACACUUUGCUCCCUCAAGGCUACAUCCAUGAAAAUGGCUCCCGCUGUGGGAAUGGUGGGCGGAGCCUAUGCUCCAAGGACGCGGGAGGGGGAGGAAACUCCAACUGCCCAGGGUCAGCUUGCAGGUCAACUGGCGGCCACCAUGUCCUCUCUGUGACCUCCUCCAACACUUCCUUGCAGUGGGCGGGGAUUUCUGGGGCUCUGAUACUUGCCAGUCGUCAAGUGUGAGUCGUCUGAGACCUGUUCUCUGACCACUCCGUGGGUCUUGCAGCUCCCAGCUUCUCCAUUCCUUUCCUUGACCAUCAGGUGGGGGAACCCCCUGGCUGCACACCCAUGUGCCACGUCAGUGACGCCACGUCAGUGACACCACGGGCCCUACGUCCUCUCCCUGCUGCUCUUCUGGAUCUUACUCUCUGGGAGGCAUAAUGUCAUUGGUCUAAAGGCCUAUGAGAAGAAGCCCAGCGUGUAUCUUUGCAGUAAUCACUGUUCAUAUUUUCUAAAGUGUCCAAAAGCAAAUACUGUAUGUUGUUCAACCUUCUGUGGGAACGUUUGCAUGAGCCUCCAGUGAGGGGGUGAGGGCGCUGGACUUUGCGUUCUGCUCCCCCAAACUUCUAUACAGAUCAAAGCACAAGGACCUCAGAUCCUGGGCACCAGGAUGUCAACGGGAGCACACCUUUACCCUGUCUGAACUGUUUGUUCCUGUCAAAUAAACCAGAACAAAUGUCCACAGACCUGCCUAUCUUACUCCCAGGGCUUAUAGUCAUUGAGGACCCAGUGCAGACCCCAGAGCGCUCCCUUCUCUGGGUCCAGGGCUCUGAUCUCUCCCCCCUUGUGAUGUUUCUUUAUUUUCUCUCCCAUUGGCCCCUGCUCCCCCACCAGGGCCCCGAGGCCCAGCCUCAUUGUUGAUCUGCUCAUUGAACCAGUGAUGCCAGGGAAGAAACUGCUCAUGUGUGGUACCUUCCAAUGCUAACCAGAACACUCCUCAGCCUGGAGUCAGAAGGGCCAAGUUAAACAUGAGGUGGGGUGGGGCUACACUCUGGGGCACAAAGUAGGAGGUCCCCAAGGAGGCUUCUUCUUAAAUUUAAUCCACCUCCAUCCUGUUCUACCCAUUCUCCUUGUGAGGUUCAGAUUACCAUAUGUUUACAAUAUAGAAAACCAAUCGCAGGGAGUUAAGUGACAUGCUUGAGGCCAAAAGACAGUGAGAGGUCAUGUUGUGGCUAGAGGAGGAUGUUCGUCUGGACUCCCUGUUUGCUCACUGCUCCUCCAUUAUUGUGAGAACAUGGGUGUGGAAGUGAGUGCCUACACUAUUGUCUCCCACCCCAUCCUCCAUCAAUAUGGCCUCUUUUGUGAUGGGGCACGGAAUGGGGUCCCAGGACCUGAGACUCCAGUGUCUUCCAUCAAAUGAAUGGUCCCCACCUUUCCCCAAUCCUCCUCCUCAUGGUCUCAUUCUCUCUCUCUUUUAACCCAGAAAGAAGCCAGGUGGUGGGGAACAGGUGGUUCACGGUGAUGCUACUAAGGAUUAAUUGGCCACUAAGGAGUCAGUAUGAGUGUUGCCCGUAGUCUCAUGGUGAAUCAGUGGAAUUCUGUGCAAGCAGAGCUCCUCUGAGGUUGUCCUGGGACUAAAUCCAGGGACUAGGUCACAUGUGCCCAAAGGGGACUUGGAGUCAAGUGUGAAGAACUCAGGCAGGUAGGCAGGGCUUGCUGGAGGCAGGUGUGCAGUGUUAAACUCCAGGGCAGUGCUUCCUGUGGGCAUCAGUGAGGAUUUCCCACAGAAGAAACCAGCAUUCCUCAGGCCAGAGUCUAUGGCCCACCUCAGAAGCAUCCCAGGGCUCCUGGUAUUGGAGGAGCUUCUCCACCUAUCCUGGGAGCUGGGACUAGGAGACUGUAGGAAAGAGAUCAUUAUCCAUUAGCAGCACAGACAUCAUCAGAUGUAGGUGGAUGGUAAGGGCAUGCCCUGUGGGAGAUCUUAGCGGGUGCUUCCUCAGACAACCUGACUCUGCAAGCAUCUUCCCAGUGCUUGGCCAUGCCCCCGAACACCCUGGGAGAGACUAUUAAGAGAGGCAAAGCUACCUGCCAGGGCCCACAUAGAGAAUGACCUCCACGUCCAUGACCAGUGUUCCUUCCUAUGUGGGCACACCAUGCUGCCAGCUGACCUAUUCCUUGCCACCAGUGUGAGCACCCCAGACCAUGAAUUCUACUGGAAGGAUCUGGUUUUCUCCAUUGUGAUAACUCGUGUCUUGGCCUGUUCCCCAGAGCUCUCUGGACACUCCACAUUGCCUCACUGGACUGAGAGGCCACGUCUAGACUGCUUUGGCUGGGAGGAGUGCUUGCCUGGCCAGCACUGCAAGUUCUGUGGAAAAAGAUCUUAUAACACCUGAUGGGAUGAACUCUAUUCUUCCCAUUCUUACAUGUGAGUAAAUGACGUUUCAGAGAAAUGAGACGACUUACCUAAAGUCUUUCAGUUAGCAAGUGGUGGAGGGGCUCUGGCAUUCCCAGAGACCAGGAGGAAGAGCCACCAGUCAAAUAGCUACCAGCUUCCAACUCGAACAUCUUCAGAGGUAGGUAGAGGUCAGAGUCUUGGGGCUAGAAUUGGGAACUUGCAAACACUUUUGUUUGUGGUUUGGUUGGAUGAGUUCCCUGUCUAAAUCAUGCCUCCAGAUCACGCCAACCCUAUGCCUAUAUGGAAGAAAUUAUUGUCCUUUUUGUUCAAAUGGAGAAACUAAGAGAGAGAAAGAUGACGUGGAUAGACACUGUGUCCCUUCAUGCAUGAUACCCUGACAAGGAUACUAUGUAUUGAUUACGUAAUAUUCCCACUGAGCAUGUAUAACCUGAGUCUAAUCAUAAGAAAUUUCAGACAAAGCCCAAAAUGAGGAAUGUUCAACUAAAAGAAAAGUUUGGCUCUGCUAUUCAAAAAUUUCAAUGUUGUAUAAGACAAAGGACAUUACUGGGUGAAUUUGUAAAAUGGAAUACUGAUAGUAGCUUAGAUAAGUGUAUAAAAGUAUAUUUUGUCAAUGUUAAAUUUAAUGAAAUUGAUAAUUGUGCUAUGAUCACUCACCAGAACUAAUUCCAAAAAGGUUAAAUAGUUA